AGCAGCCGCGGUAAUUCCAGCUCCAAUAGCGUAUAUUAAAGUUGUUGCAGUUAAAAAGCUCGUAGUUGAAUUUCGGAAUCAAUGGAUCGGUCAUGCCAAUCGGUGUGUACUGGUUUGAUUGGUUCUCACCUUCUAAGGAACUGUGAUGCCAUUAAUUUGGUGUCGUAGGAAAUUAGGACUGUUACCUUGAAAAAAUUAGAGUGUUUAAAGCAAGCUCACGCUUGAAUACAUUAGCAUGGAAUAAUGAAAUAGGACAUUGUAUUCUAUUUUGUUGGUUUCUAGGAUCGAUGUAAUGAUUAAUAGGGAUAGGUUGGGGGCAUUAGUAUUCAAUUGUCAGAGGUGAAAUUCUUGGAUUUAUUGAAGUACUAACUACUGACGAAAGCAUUGCCUAAGGAUUGUUUCUAUUAAUCAAGAACGAAAGUUAGGGAGUCGAAGACGAUCAGAUACCGUCGUAGUCUAACAUAAACUAU
rnacentral:rRNA from 1 species